rnacentral:rRNA from 1 species
ACGGCCAUACCAUGCUGAAUAUACCGGUUCUCAUUAGAUCACCGAAGUCAAGCAUCAUUGGUCGCGGUCAGUACUUGGGUGGGUGACCACCUGGGAACACCGCUUGCCGU